AACAACAUUACUCAAAGCCUCUUUUCUCUAUAAAUAGUAAAAAAAAUCACACACAUUCACCAUUCUCAUAAAACACCAAUUGAAGUAAGCAUUGCACAGAAACUUGAAGAAUAUUUUCUUUUCAAUAUGAGGUUUCAAAAGGAAAACACCCCUUUUCACCCUCCACCACAAAUUCAACCUUCACAUCACAAAUUUUCAAGCUCUAUUAUACAAAAUUCAGCUAUCUCAUCAUCUCAAAAUCAAGAAUUACCAAGUAAGGUAAGUAACUUAACACACAAGAAUCGUCAUAAGCAAUGGAAAAGCAUGUCAAUUUCAUGUAGCAAAGGAAAAACUCAUGCACUCUCCGAUGAAUUUGAUCUGAGGCCGAGUGAAAAUGGUAACACGAAACAACAAAGUUGCAGCAAAAGCGAAGCUAUUAUUGUCAAUGAUGGACCAAAGGAUGGCGAUGGAUUCAAAUGUUGUGCAUUUAGAAUGUGUCUUCCAGGUUUUGGUAAAGUGAAACCAAUUAAACCAAGAAAAAGUGAAACCAAUAUGGAUUGUUCAAUGAAUGUGAUGUCUAGUACAUUUUCAUUUUCUUUUGAAACCUUUGACAUUAAUGCACAAGGAAGAAUAGUGCGUGAAAAUGAAAAUAAUAACGAAGAUGAUUCAAUCAGUUCCUACUUUGAACUUCCUUCUGCCGAGUUGUGAUGAAUUGGUGAUGGUGUACCAUUCUCUUGUAUGUGGAUGAUUUAGUUUCUCUCUCUUUUUCUUUUACUGUUAUCAAUACAAUUACUUACAGUAGAAAUCAUGAAUUGAAAACCUAGAGGGAAGACGUGCUUUCGAUAGGUAAUGACCGCAGUGUGACCUAGUUUGCCACAUUAUGAGCACACCGUUGAAUUUCAUUCUCCUCGCCCAGCAGAUCCACUAAAGUUUCAACUGGAUCCACGAUUUAACCUUCUUCCAUUAACCGCGUUAACAAUCACGCGUGGAUCUUCAGGGACAUCUAAACUAUUUUGCCUCUCAUGCUGAAUGAGGCUAGAAAAUACUUUGUUCAUAUUAGGAAAACGCUUCCAUUUACAAUAAUAAACAAUUUAAGAAGCUCCAUUUGCAAUAAUUGUGAUCACACAGCCACAUAAGACUCAUUUAAUCUCAUAAGGAUUGAAUUUUUAUUCAAGUUCUGCUUUGGUUUUGAUUCAAUUUUUGUUGUUGAUCAUAACGGUAUUUUGCCUGGUACUUAAGUGUUGUUUUGGAUGGGUACAGAUUUUAAGAAAUUGGUGGGGGUAAAAGUUGCUCCUUUGAUAUUAUUGGCUGUUGGUAUCAACUGUGUAGCUUGUUUCUAGUCUUAUUGUGAAUUGGUUUUGGUGCCGUUAAAUUAUGCAGAACUUGCAUAUAAAUAACUAAUCAUAAUCAAGUUUCAUUUACCUCUUAGGAGAAUUGAUAAAAUCAAAAAUGGCUUGGUGUUACUAAUUUUGUUACCGUGAGAAUCUAUAGAUUUUAGAAUAUGAGAUUGAGAUUGAGAUGGAGGGUCUUGACUUUCAGCGAAAAAUGAUAGAGAUUAUAGAAAAAAAAGUACCAUUACUCUAUUAAGUGGAUGUUUGGAUUGGGUUUGCAUCAUGUUUCUCACUUUCCAAUGCACUUUUAUGUGAAUUUUAUGAUGCUACAAUUGCAAGCUUCUACUCACUCGUGAGCAGCAGCGAAGUUAGCAAAAAAUUUACGCAUGGCCCAACUAAAAAGAAAAAAUAAAAUCAUUUUUUUCAAGGAAAAAAAAGUUUUGAAACCAACAUAUUAAAUUUAAGGAUAAUAUAUGUUUUUAGUCCUGUAAAUUAUAAUUUUUUAGGUUUAGUCCUUAAAAAAAAAAUUAUUCAAUUUUUGUCUUGAUUUUUUAAAAUUUUACAAAGAAAAGUGAUUUUAGUCUUGGAUUUAAUCUAUAUAACAAAAAAAUUAAGGAUUUAUAAAAUUUAAAAAUUGCAAGUGCGGUGGAGACUAAAAACAAAAUAAACCAAAAAUUAGUCAAUACAUGAAAGUUAGCUUAUAGCAGCAACAAAUAGUAAAAAUUGACAACAACUAUUUAGAAAAGUUGGACAAAACGCGUUUCAAGAAGCCAAUUUUAUUUAUAAUUGAUUGUUUACAAAAAUAGAUUAAUAAUGUUUUUUCUAAUGUAAACAAAUACUCUUUCCGUCCUAUAUUAUAUGACCUAGUUGACUCUGUCAAGUAUGUCAAUGCACAUAUUUGAACUUAAAUAUCUUUAAUAAUCAAUUAGAAAUUUUUUUGAAAAUUUGAUAUUUUGAAAAUAUUUAUCGAGAUGAAUCCAACAACAUCUUAUAUGCUAUAUUUUGUCUUUAUAUAUUAGUAGAAAAAUAUGGUCAAUUGUGACCGUGCAGAAGUGGGGUUUUCAGGGUUCGAACCCCGACCCCUGCAUAAAUUAUGCAAUGCCCCUAUCAUUAUUAUAAGCAAACAAUUAUUUUUUAGAUUUAUAGAAUAAUUGAUGUAUUUGAUCUAUAAUAUAGAUCAAAUACAUCAAUUAUUAAUUAAAUCUAAAAAAUUGUUUUUUUUAUACUUGUAAUAGUGACCGGAUAAUGUAUAUCAAAUAUGAAAUAUGUAAGUUAUUAGUGAACUCCCUCGAUUUCUUUUUAGUUGUGGUCUUAGAGUAAUUUACAUAUACCAAUAAAAUUAAUAAAUUUUGAUGUAUCAAAAAAAAAAAAUUAAUAAAUUUUGUCACUUCUAACUAAAUUAUUUAUCCUUUUUAAAAAUAAAAAUAAAACUAAAUUAUUCAUCCUUUUUGUAAAAUACGUUGACAAUUUACUAUCUUAUUCUAACUAUUUUUUAAAAUGGUUAGAUUAUAUAGCUAUGAAUUUCGUAUUUAUAUCAAAUUUUGUGUGUUUGUUCUUUAAUAUAUUAGGAGAAUAAUCAAUGGUUGGAUUAAUGAAAUUUCUUGUACCAAAUAUAGGUAAAAAUAGGUUAACAAUAGUUAAUGUAUUUGGUGCAUAUUUUGUACCAAAUAAAUCUAUAAUGUUGAUCAAUUUUUGCUUCUAUUUUUGGACGAAUGAAAUAUUGAACAAAGUAAAUCCUCUUAGAGUUGCACCCCCUAACCUAGGGUCCUAAAUCCGUCACCGCCUUGUUUGCCCUAAAUCAUUAUAGUCCAUCGUUGCAUCCGACUCUCCAGACUCUACAGCUAAUACUUGUUUGCCCUAAAUCACUUUGGGAGUCAAAUCUUACCAUUAAGUCACAGUUUACUUUCACUGUUGUAUAUAAAACCAAUAGUGAGUCGGACAUGAUAUGUAAUUGUCUCUGUUUUUGGACAGAUAUUAAACCUUAGAACUUGUAUCCAUUUUAAGUCUGUUUCACGUCUUGCUCACAAAUCUAUGAUGCCAUAAGAUGUUUGUUAUAUUUGUCCCUUGAUUCUAUGAUUUAUCUGUUUCCUACUAAGAGUAAUUUUGGUACCUUCCUUUUGAUGUCAGCACGUUACAAAUUGUGUACUUAAUUUGUGACACAACAUCAUAUAUUCAACUAUCACAAUAAUUAUAAAAAAUGCAAUUAACUGAUUCCACCAAUACAAAUAUACCCUUUCAGAAAAUAUUGUGAUUACUAGGUCCUUAAUUAAUUUCUCUGAAGUCAAUCAUCCAUUUAUAAUGCAGGCUAGAAUUUAGAAAUUUAGAAUAGCCAUGAAAGUCAAAUUAUCCUAAUUUCUAAGAGCAAAAACAAUACAUUAAUUGAUCUAAAUGAGGAUAUUAAAUUAAAGAAAAAUCGCAAUUGAUGUUGAGACAGAAACAACAUCAAAUAAAGCAUCUUUCUCUAUAAAUAGUGUGUUGUUCCAACAUAGUGUAAUCACUAAUUAGCCACAUAUUCUCAUAAAACAUCAAUCCAGAAAGUUGAAGCAUAUUUGUUUUCAAGAUGAGGUUUCAAAAAGAAAACACCUAUUUACACCCUCCACCACAACUUCAUCCAUCAAACCAAAAAAAUCCAUCAUCAUCUCAAAGUGUAGAAUUACCAAGAAAGGUAGGUAACUUGAACCACAAGAAACAUCUUAAGCAAUGCAAGACCAUGUCACUAUCAAAGGGCAAAGGAAAAACACAUGCAGUCCCAGAUGAAUUCGAUCUAAGAUCGAUUGAAAAUGCAAAUAGGAAACAACAAAGCAUCUAUAAAAAUGAAGAUACUAUCAUCAAAGAGGUUGUUGCAAAGAGUAGCAAGAGAAUGGACAGUGGCCAUGGAUUCAAAUGCCAUUCAUUUGGAAUGUGUUUUCCAGGUUUUGGUAAAGUAAAACCAAUUAAAACUAGAAAAAUUGAAACCAAGGUGGAUUAUUCAAUGAAUGUGAUGUCUAGUACAUUUUCAAUUUCUUUUGAAAACUUUGACAUUAAUGCACAAGGAAGAAUAGUCCGGGAAAAUAAUAAUGAAGAUAAUUCCAUCAGUUCUUACUUUGAACUUCCUUCUACCGCGUUGUGAUGAUACGGUGAAGGUGUAUCAUUCUUUUGAACUUACAUAAUCAAACUUCAUGAGUACCAUUGUGUUCACCUUAAUUAAAAUACUUCAAUAAUUUUGGAGCGUGUGUGCGAUUUAUUUUCUUUCUUUUUCUUUUAUUCAAUGUAUUUUCAGUUUUUUGUUACUUAUCAAUGUGUUACAUUUUUUUAAAACAAUUAAUAUAUGUUACAGUUGUUAUGUAUAACGAUAUUACUACAUCUUAUAUUAUGAUAUUCCUGCA
rnacentral:lncRNA from 1 species